AGAGUUUGAUCAUGGCUCAGAUUGAACGCUGGCGGCAUGCCUUACACAUGCAAGUCGAACGGUAACGCGGGGGCAACCCUGGCGACGAGUGGCGAACGGGUGAGUAAUACAUCGGAACAUAUCCAGUAGCGGGGGAUAACCUAUCGAAAGAUGGACUAAUACCGCAUACGAUCUACGGAUGAAAGCAGGGGACCGCAAGGCCUUGCACUAUUGGAGUGGCCGAUGUCGGAUUAGCUAGUUGGUGGGGUAAAAGCUUACCAAGGCGACGAUCCGUAGCUGGUCUGAGAGGACGAUCAGCCACACUGGAACUGAGACACGGUCCAGACUCCUACGGGAGGCAGCAGUGGGGAAUUUUGGACAAUGGGCGCAAGCCUGAUCCAGCCAUGCCGCGUGAGUGAAGAAGGCCUUCGGGUUGUAAAGCUCUUUCGGUGAAGACGAAACGGUUCAUGCUAAUAACGUGAACUAAUGACGGUACUCACAGAAGAAGCACCGGCUAACUACGUGCCAGCAGCCGCGGUAAUACGUAGGGUGCAGGCGUUAAUCGGAAUUACUGGGCGUAAAGCGUGCGCAGGCGGUUUGCUAAGACAGGUGUGAAAUCCCCGGGCUUAACCUGGGAAUUGCGCUUGUAACUGGCAAGCUAGAGUGUGGCAGAGGGGGGUGGAAUUCCACGUGUAGCAGUGAAAUGCGUAGAUAUGUGGAGGAACACCGAUGGCGAAGGCAGCCCCCUGGGUUAACACUGACGCUCAUGCACGAAAGCGUGGGGAGCAAACAGGAUUAGAUACCCUGGUAGUCCACGCCCUAAACUAUGUCAACUAGUUGUCGGGGAAGAAAGUCCUUGGUAACGAAGCUAACGCGUGAAGUUGACCGCCUGGGGAGUACGGCCGCAAGGUUAAAACUCAAAGGAAUUGACGGGGACCCGCACAAGCGGUGGAUUAUGUGGAUUAAUUCGAUGCAACGCGAAAAACCUUACCUACCCUUGACAUGCUAGGAAGCCCGCAGAGAUGUGGGUGUGCCCGAAAGGGAACCUAGACACAGGUGCUGCAUGGCUGUCGUCAGCUCGUGUCGUGAGAUGUUGGGCUAAGUCCCGCAACGAGCGCAACCCUUGCCAUUAGUUGCUACAUCCAGUUGGGCACUCUAAUGGGACCGCCGGUGACAAACCGGAGGAAGGUGGGGAUGACGUCAAGUCCUCAUGGCCCUUAUGGGUAGGGCUUCACACGUAAUACAAUGGUCGGUACAGAGGGCUGCCAACCCGCAAGGGGGAGCUAAUCCCAGAAAGCCGAUCGUAGUCCGGAUUGUAGUCUGCAACUCGACUGCAUGAAGCCGGAAUCGCUAGUAAUCGCGGAUCAGCAUGUCGCGGUGAAUACGUUCCCGGGUCUUGUACACACCGCCCGUCACACCAUGGGAGUGGGUUCCACCAGAAGUAGUUAGCCUAACCGCAAGGAGGGCGAUUACCACGGUGAGAUUCAUGACUGGGGUGAAGUCGUAACAAGGUA
rnacentral:rRNA from 1 species